GGCUGCGCCUCCCCUCCCCUCCCCCGCUUCCUCGGGCGGCCCCUCAUCGCUUGGGAGCGGCGGCAGGAAGCGCUCCUGCGCGGGGUGCAUCGGCCAUGGCGGGGCCCGGCCCGGCCCGGCCCUGGCUGUGGGGUCAGCUGUAGGGCCCGGUUCUGCCGUCGGGCUCUGUGGUAGCGCUGAGCCGCAGCGGGGGUGCGGGCGCUGUUAAAGGCUGAGCUUAAGCUGUAUGCGCUGCUCAGAGUCAGUUCCCACACGGGAAGGAGCUGGGAGGCGCUUCUGGGCUUGUGCUUUCCUCGGUUCGAGGGCUUUGGCUCGCUCAAAGAGGGUUACAGCACCGGUGAUGCGGCUGGUUUGGGUUCGGGAGGGAGCCGGUGCUGCCUCCAGGGUUGGUGUUGACAUAUGUUUGUCUUUCUCCUUCGAGAUCUCGUCGCGGUGUGCCUGCUGCAGCAGCACGUCACCUAGCUGCGGUUUAGAGAGGUUUGGUUUAGCGACCUGGACUUCAGCUGCGGGUUUCCCUGUGCGGGCAGAACUCGCUGCUGGUGGCAGCAGUGGGAGACACGCUUUGGCCAGAGGACACAUCUCCUGGGAUGCAUUGUGUGUUAUUGGGCAGCUCUUGGGACCCCAGCUCAGACUUUCAAUGCCUCUAAGGCUGGAUGCUUCCCUGCAUUAAAAACGAAGCUGGAAAAACCUAGUGACCUUUUUUGCCCACCUCUGGGUAAGUAGGUAAAAACAGUGACUGAAUUCACCCAGUGCUCCUUCCUGGUGCAGAGAAGUGACUGUGCCAAAUGUAGUGUGAGGUGGUGCAAUGUAUGCUGUGGGAGGGGUCUGGUGUUGAGAGGAGGUAUUUGCAUGUAUGAAAAUGAGCAGCUUCCUAUUGGAUGUGUGAUGGAGGCACAGAUCUACCAGGAAUGUCUUGUUUUCAUUGUGCUGUAGGUGGUUUGGGCUCCAGUCAAAGCUCACUGAUGACGUGUGCCACUAUCUGGUGAGUGUGAGAAACAUCUAAAUGUG
rnacentral:lncRNA from 14 species